rnacentral:rRNA from 1 species
CGGAGGAUCCAAGCGUUAUCCGGAUUUAUUGGGUUUAAAGGGUGCGUAGGUGGCUUUUUAAGUCAGGGGUGAAAGACGGUAGCUUAACUAUCGCAGUGCCUUUGAUACUGAAGAGCUUGAAUGAACUAGAGGUAGGCGGAAUGUGACAAGUAGCGGUGAAAUGCAUAGAUAUGUCACAGAACACCAAUUGCGAAGGCAGCUUACUAUGGUUAGAUUGACACUGAGGCACGAAAGCGUGGGGAUCAAACAGGAUUAGAUACCCUGGUAGUCCACGCCCUAAACGAUGAAUACUCGAUGUUGGCGAUAUACGGUCAGCGUCUAAGCGAAAGCGUUAAGUAUUCCACCUGGGGAGUACGCCGCAAGGGUG